rnacentral:lncRNA from 1 species
CCUUGGGCCAGCGGGUGGUGGAGAGCAGCCCGGCCUUGAGCUUAAGGGUUUUAUUCUCUUGGGAAUCUGUUAUCUCUCGUCAGCCCGGGUUGGUCCACCUGUUCAAUGGCCCCAACAUCGGAACUCGUCGACAGGGGCAGAGAGGCACUUGGGCCCUUUGGACGCCGACACUGUUGGACAAGGUGGAGGCAAAGCCAGCCGGCGGCAGCUUUUAAAGGAAUUGAGAUGGAUUUCUGGACCGUCGGACACGCGUGGAACUCGGACGUUUGGUGCAGCUCCGGAUGGAGCUCUAGAAGUUAGUGCUGGGGGCGGUGGAGUUAGGACUUCAACGUGUGAAUUUUGUGGGACACAACGCAUCCCCUGGCAGCAAAGACCACAGCCAACGUCAUACCAUAGCGACUUAGGUGAGUGCCUUGUUGCUUCACGAGGCGAGCAGAGACUGCGUCCAAUUCAGCCCUGUGUCCAGCUCAGCACUUUUAAGGGGACGCGCCCACUUCUGGGCAAGUCCAGACCUUAAAGCCGAGGUAGCCAAGUGGUCACCCUGUGUAGGGGGAAGAUGAGUGCCAUCUUUUUGCUCCUUCGUGUCAUGAAACAGAGGAGCACAGCCAGUGUCUCUGCCUCAGCCAGAGGGGGAUCUCAGGAAGCUUGAGGAGCUGGGGGGGGCGCUUUGGGUGAGGUCUAGGGUCAGCG